ensembl:lncRNA
CUACUUUGUGCCAAGGCCUGUACUCAUCACUGACAUUUAAAAAUGAAAAGAAAGAGGGAGAAAUAGGUAAAGGGCCACUGUAUGGUGAGGAACUGAAAAUAAAUUUUUGGCGGUGAGCACGGUAUUGUGUGUGUGAAGUCGACAUACAAGGCACAUAUGAGAGUUAUAUAAUGUCAUAAAUCACUGUUGCCACAAUUAAAAUAACUUGAAAAAUUAAAAAGGAAAACUGAAUAUCAACUUGGAGUGGGGAAGAGUGUACAGCAGCAAUUAAAUUCAUCGUAAUGCCCAGUUCAAAGAGUACAAAAUGCUAAAUCCAGAGGGAUGAGGAUGAGGUGAGAGCUGGGGAGAAGAGAGGUCUCUGGGGGCACAGGAAGCUUCACUUUUCUCAGUUCCUGCAACCAGGCGAUCCUGAUGGAGGGAAGAUGGUGCAGAGGAGAAAGGAUGAUGAGAGAUGUCGCCAGAGAUGCAGAAAAGGACAUUGUGGCAGGAACUAAGGUCAUUCACAACAUGGAAGACAAAGUGGCUCCUACUGGCAGCUUCCCACAGUGCCUGUCAAUUGCACGGGGCGAUCAGGUUCAUGAGUUUGUAUGAAGUGGAUCUAGGUAACAAGGCUUGCCCUCUAUUAGGAAGUCUGAUGUUUCCUCUGAUUUUCUGGUGUGGUAUUGAUAAGGUGUUUUGGAAAGUUUUUGACUUUGCCAUAAUUCCAAACGUACAGAAACCGGCGGUAGCAGAACAGUCUUGUGUAUCUACACACUCAGAGUUCCCAGCCUUCCUUACUUGAGUGCGUGCGCCACUUCACACAAGAUUCUCCAGGGAGUUUUACCCAAGAAAGGAAAAGGGAACGUGUUCUUCCAGGGCACCAGCACGUCGUGUCCAAACGAGGAAAUUACAUGGUUUCCAUGUUACAAUCCAACCCAAGGCCCAUUUCAGCUUUCACCAGCUGCCCCAACUUUAGGGAGACGUCUUUCCCCAUUCUGAUCCAGGUUUCUUUUCCUGGAACCAUGACUGAUACUUUUCCUCAUUUUCACAACCUUGGUAGAUGCAAAGUUCACAAGGUAAAUACGACCUGAGUCAUAAGAUAAAUAUGGCCUUUUCUGUAUUAUAACAUGUAUUGGGACUUUAUGUAUUUUGUGUGUGUGUGAUUAAUUGUACAGAUUAUUUACCAUUUAAGACAUUUUAAGUACACUGUUCUGUGGCAUUAACCACACUCACAUUGUUGUACAAAUAUCUUCUCCAUCUAUGUUCAGAAUGUUUCUGUUUUCACCAGUAAAACUGUGCUCAUUAAAGACAAAUUUACCUCAGCCCCUGGCCAUUGCACUCUACUUUCUGCCUUUGAACUUGACUUCUGUGUGUACCUCAUAUAAGUGGAAUCAUGACAUUUUGUUCUGCUUGUGACAGUUACUUCAUUUAUAAUGGCUUCCAGGUUUCCGUUCACAAUAGCACAUGUCAGAAUCCCUUCUUUUUUUAGGCUGAAUCCCAUUCCUUUGCAUGUAUGCCACCACAUUUAUUU